rnacentral:rRNA from 1 species
GCUGGCGGCGUGCCUAAUACAUGCAAGUCGAGCGAGCGGAACUAACAGAUUUACUUCGGUAAUGACGUUAGGAAAGCGAGCGGCGGAUGGGUGAGUAACACGUGGGGAACCUGCCCCAUAGUCUGGGAUACCACUUGGAAACAGGUGCUAAUACCGGAUAAGAAAGCAGAUCGCAUGAUCAGCUUUUAAAAGGCGGCGUAAGCUGUCGCUAUGGGAUGGCCCCGCGGUGCAUUAGCUAGUUGGUAAGGUAAAGGCUUACCAAGGCGAUGAUGCAUAGCCGAGUUGAGAGACUGAUCGGCCACAUUGGGACUGAGACACGGCCCAAACUCCUACGGGAGGCAGCAGUAGGGAAUCUUCCACAAUGGACGCAAGUCUGAUGGAGCAACGCCGCGUGAGUGAAGAAGGUUUUCGGAUCGUAAAGCUCUGUUGUUGGUGAAGAAGGAUAGAGGUAGUAACUGGCCUUUAUUUGACGGUAAUCAACCAGAAAGUCACGGUUAACUACGUGCCAGCAGCCGCGGUAAUACGUAGGUGGCAAGCGUUGUCCGGAUUUAUUGGGCGUAAAGCGAGCGCAGGCGGAAGAAUAAGUCUGAUGUGAAAGCCCUCGGCUUAACCGAGGAACUGCAUCGGAAACUGUUUUUCUUGAGUGCAGAAGAGGAGAGUGGAACUCC